GGCGCCCAGAAGGAAGCUGGGCGGGAAGAGGCGGAGGAGCGGCUGCCGACGAAGCAAGGGAGGCGGCCGGGCUUGAGCCGAGAGUUGAGAGUCACAGGAAAACUGCUGUGAUGAAGACAGAAAAGAAAAAGCAUCUUCCACCAGAAAAGAGGAAGGCGGAACAGAAAAAGAAAUCAAAGCGUCCAGAGCCACAAAUGAAGCAAGAGACAGAUGAACCUGAGCUGAAAAGACAUAAACUAAAGCAUGCCAGCCAUGCCUUUCAUGAAUGAGGACAGCAGUCAGGACCCAUAAUGCACAGACAUUGAGAGUCCACAGCCCACGCUGGAGAAGAACCUUGGAAGGAGUUUGAAGUCUGCCAUACAGGAAUGCUCUGAAACCCUCCCCAGAUCUACCUCCACCCUCUGCUCAGGCUGAGGAUCAGCGGGGCAGGCAACUUCACUUGUGCUAGUAUUACCAGAGAUGCUUAUAAGCCUCCACGGAGGGCCAUUCUCACCACCCCCUUCCUCAGAAGUAUUUUCCUAGCUGCUGUUGGGGCCGUGCAGUCCAUUAGUGAGAAAUACGAGGAGGUUGAAAUCUGGGUCUCGAAGUCCUUAAGGAGCCAGUGAGUUUUUUACACAAGGGCCCACCAAGGUUCCCUUUUCCCUUACAUUCCAGGUCUUCAGUAGAGUGGCCAGAAGGAAGGGAUUCAAAUCUAGCCGGGAGCGUGCUGCAUUUGCUGUGUCAGAAUAUGCUGAAAUGAUAAUGUUGUGUAAACAAUCCUUAAAAAUAGC